rnacentral:rRNA from 1 species
AUACGGAGGGUGCAAGCGUUAAUCGGAAUUACUUGGCGUAAAGCGCACGCAGGCGGCCAAUUAAGUCAGAUGUGAAAGCCCCGAGCUUAACUUGGGAAUUGCAUCUGAAACUGGUUGGCUAGAGUCUUGUAGAGGGGGGUAGAAUUCCACGUGUAGCGGUGAAAUGCGUAGAGAUGUGGAGGAAUACCGGUGGCGAAGGCGGCCCCCUGGACAAAGACUGACGCUCAGGUGCGAAAGCGUGGGGAGCAAACAGGAUUAGAUACCCUGGUAGUCCACGCUGUAAACGAUGUCGAUUUAGAGGUUGUGGUCUUGAACUGUGGCUUCUGGAGCUAACGCGUUAAAUCGACCGCCUGGGGAGUACGGCCGCAAGGUUAAAACUCAAAUGAAUUGACGGGG